UACGUAGGGUCCGAGCGUUAAUCGGAAUUACUGGGCGUAAAGCGUGCGCAGGCGGCUUUGCAAGACAGAUGUGAAAUCCCCGGGCUCAACCUGGGAACUGCAUUUGUGACUGCAAGGCUAGAGUACGGUAGAGGGGGAUGGAAUUCCGCGUGUAGCAGUGAAAUGCGUAGAUAUGCGGAGGAACACCGAUGGCGAAGGCAAUCCCCUGGACCUGUACUGACGCUCAUGCACGAAAGCGUGGGGAGCAAACAGG
rnacentral:rRNA from 1 species